ACAAUCAAGUGGCCAGUGAAAAUUUGUCUGCAAAUCAAGUGGCCAGUGAAGAUUUGUUCGACAAUCAAGUGGCCAGAGAAGAUUUGUUCGACAAUCAAGUGACCCGUGAAGAUUUGUCCGACAAUCAAGUGGCCAGUGAAUAUUUGUUCGACAAUCAAGUGGCCAGUGAAAAUUUGUCUGCAAAUCAAGUGGCCAGUGAAGAUUUGUUCGACAAUCAAGUGACCAGUGAAGAUUUGUCCGACAAUCAAGUGGCCAGCGAAGAUUUGUUCGACAAUCAAGUGGCCAGAGAAGAUUUGUUCGACAAUCAAGUGACCCGUGAAGAUUUGUCCGACAAUCAAGUGGCCAGGGAAGAUUUGUCCGACAAUCAAGUGGCCAGUGAAUAUUUGUUCGACAAUCAAGUGGCCAGUGAAGAUUUGUUCGGCAAUCAAGUGGCCAGUGAAGAUUUGUUUGACAAUCAAGUGGCCAGUGAAGAUUUGUUCGGCAAUCAAGUGGCCAGUGAAGAUUUGUUUGACAAUCAAGUGGCCAGUGAAGAUUUGUUCGACAAUCAAGUGGCCAGUGAAGAUUUGUCCGACAAUCAAGUGGCCAGUGAAGAUGCAUGUCUAUAAUAUUUUUUUCAUAAAUAAGACAUUUUGCAAUUAAAAUAUCACAAACCAUAUGCUACACUUUCGCUCAGUUUGCCAAAUUGUAAACAGAUUUUCAAAGUGGUUCAAACAUUUUUGUAACCCAGAUUUUCUUUAUCUAGGAAUUCUAAAGUAUAUUAUUUACAAAAACCUUUUCAACUAAAAUACUGAGCGAAACACUUCCAAACACCAACCACUCUUUAUGCUGUAAGCGGCUGUCUUAGUAUACUACAGGUAGUUGUCUUAGUAUACUGCAGGUAGUCAUUUAGUAUACUACAGGUAGUUGUCUAAGUAUACUACAGGUAGUUGUCUUAGUAUACUACAGGUAGUUGUUUUAGUAUACUACAGGUAGUUGUCUUAGUAUACCACAGGUAGUUGUCUUAGUAUACUACAGGUAGUUGUCUUAGUAUACUACAGGUAGUUGUCUUAGUAUACUACAGGUGGUUGUCUUAGUAUACUACAGGUAGUUGUCUUAGUAUACUACAGGUAGUUGUCUUAGUAUACUACAGAUAGUUGUCUUAGUAUACUAAAGGUAGUUGUCUAAUUAGUAUACUACAGGUAGUUGUUUUAGUAUACUACAGGUAGUUGUCUUAGUAUACCACAGGUAGUUGUCUUAGUAUACUACAGGUAGUUGUCUUAGUAUACUACAGGUAGUUGUCUAAUUAGUAUACUACAGGUAGUUGUCACCAAAGUUAAUGUAGGUAUUUCUAUCUACAAAAAACAUAAAUAUCAAGACUUUUGGAACAGGUGCAAAUGUUUUGUUCUCACCGCUUGACAUAUAUAAUGCAAUGAAUGUAAAUUAUCAACAAUAUAUUUGGUGCUGAAAACACACAUAAAUUCUUUGCUCUGUGCCAGUUUUUAAAAGAACAUUUUAUCUGAAGUUUUGUGCUCUGUGCUGUAUUACAUAAGAAUACUUACACAUGUAAAAAGUCUUGUGCUGUGGGCUGGAAUUGAUAUGGAUAAAAAAAUCCAUUCAGAAGGCUGUUGUGGACUGUGAGCUCCAUUGCUGUACAAUAAAGAUGAAACUGA